rnacentral:rRNA from 1 species
UACGAAGGGGGCUAGCGUUGUUCGGAAUUACUGGGCGUAAAGGGCGCGCAGGCGGUUCCUCAAGUCAGGCGUGAAAGCCCCGGGCUCAACCUGGGAACUGCGCUUGAGACUGCGGGACUGGAGUUCGGGAGAGGAGAGCGGAAUUCCCAGUGUAGAGGUGAAAUUCGUAGAUAUUGGGAAGAACACCAGUGGCGAAGGCGGCUCACUGGCCCGGAACUGACGCUGAGGUACGAAAGCGUGGGGAGCAAACAGG